UACGUAGGGUGCAAGCGUUGUCCGGAAUUAUUGGGCGUAAAGAGCUCGUAGGCGGCUUGUCGCGUCGACUGUGAAAACCUGGGGCUUAACUCCGGGCCUGCAGCCGAUACGGGCAGACUAGAGUGCGGUAGGGGAGACUGGAAUUCCUGGUGUAGCGGUGAAAUGCGCAGAUAUCAGGAGGAACACCGGUGGCGAAGGCGGGUCUCUGGGCCGUAACUGACGCUGAGACGCGAAAGCGUGGGGAGCGAACAGG
rnacentral:rRNA from 1 species